rnacentral:lncRNA from 1 species
AUCAUUAGCAGCAACAACACAAAUCAAAUUCAACCCAUUUUAAUUCUUUUCAUCAUCAUCUUCAUGAAUUAAAAACAAUGGAUUUCUCCAAAUUCAUCACAUCAACAACAUAGCAACAACACGAUGCUUUGAACCAACAACAUCAUAAAAAAAUAUCUCUCUCUUCCCUUUCUCUCUUCCAAUCCAUUCAUAGAAACAUAACAAAAAAAAAUUGAAUUCUUGCUUUUUUCUCUUCCCUUUCUCUCAAAUGUGUGGUACUGUAAUCACACAUAAUCAAAUGUGAGGUUUAUUUCAAUUCUUCCUUCCAGUAACUUUAAGUUACAAUUCAUGGGAUUUGAUUUUGGAUAACGUCUGAAUAAAUAAAAAAUAAAGGCUUAAAUGUUCUUUUGGUCCCUUAACUAUUUAAUUGGUAUCGCUUUGGUCCCUUAACUAAAAAAAAGAUUGUUUGAGGAUUUCAAGUUUUUUUUUAGUCUCGUUUUGGUCCCUUCUGUUAGGUUUCCGUUAUUUUUAAUAAAAAACGUUAAGUGUGGACACGUGUCACCUUGUCAUUGACUCUUUUUUUUUUUUUAAUAUAUAUAUUUUAUUUUUUUGUAAAAAAAUUCCCAGAACCAAUGACAAGGUGACACGUGUUAACUCUGGGACACGUGUCACUUUGUCAUUGGCUUUGAGAUUUUUUUUUUUAAAAAUAAUAAUUUUUUUUGAAAGAAAAAAAAAAACUCGGAGCCAAUGACAAGGUGACACGUGUCCAGGAGUUAACUUUUUUUUAAAACCCUAACGGAAACCUAACAGAACCAAAACGAGACUAAAAAAAACUUAAAAUCCUCAAACAAUCUUUUUUGGUUUAAAUGCUCUUUUGGUCCCUUAAGUAUUUAUUUAGUAUCGCUUUGGUCCCAUAAGUAAUAAAAGGUCCGUUUUGGUCCCUUAACUUUAUUGAAAGUAUCGGUUUGGUCCUUUCUGUUAAUUUAAUUCAAAAAAAAGUUAAAUUUUGAUCCCUUAUCUUAUUUAAUUAGUAUUAGUUUGGUCCCUUAACUUAUUUAAUUAGUAUUAGUUUGGUCCUUAAACUUAACAUUUUUUUGAAUUAAAUUAACAUAAAGGAUCAAACCGAUACUUUAAAUAAAGUUAAGGGACCUAAACGGACCUUUUAUUACUUAUGGCACCAAAGCGAUACCAAAUAAAUACUUAAGGGACAAAAGGAGCAUUUAAGCCAUCUUUUUUUUAGUUAAGGGACCAAAGCGAUACCAAUUAAAUAGUUAAGAGACCAAAAGAGCAUUUAAGCCAAAAAUAAAACUUUAUUGAUUUAUUUAGAAUUUUAUGAGAUCCAAUUUCUUAGUUUAUGAGUUUCAACUGAAGCAAAUCGAAGUACAUUCCUUCAGGGAGAGUUCGAACAGGAUAAGAAGAAAGUGUGGGAGAUGGGUGAUCUAUGGAAGUAUGGAGAUGAGGGAGAGACACGCUGAAGAAGAAGAAAAUAAGACAGAAGACCUUUUGUAAUCUUUUUGCAACCUUAUCACUUAUUUUUGUGGGUUUGGCUUUGAAUAAAUUUUGCCCUUUGUAAUCAUAUAAAGCUAUUUUGCAAAUGAAUCUAGGUAUUUUUGUUGUGUUAAAUUUGUGGAAGCCAUGAAUUCAUGAUCUUGAAGGCGUGAAUUGAUGUUGAAUUUGAGUUUUUUCAGGUAUAUUGUAUGAAUGUUCAUGAAUUUUGUAUGAACAUGAAAAAGCGGUGGAAGGAAAAAGAUGAAGAGAGGGAGAAAAAAUUAUGUGGUGAUGGUUCACUAUUGUAUAUAAUGGACCUACAAUCGAAUUGUUGAAAUCAUAUCAGAGAUGUUAAAAAUUAAAAAAUUAACGGAGAUGACCAAAAUAGUAAACAGCGGAAGAUUUAUAGGACCAAAUUGAGACACUUUGUAGUUAG